rnacentral:rRNA from 1 species
AAUCAACGCUGGCGGCGUGCCUAACACAUGCAAGUCGAACGUGAAAGCCCCGCAAGGGGUGAGUAGAGUGGCGCACGGGUGAGUAACACGUGGAUAACCUGCCUUUGAGUGGGGAAUAACCUUCCGAAAGGAGGGCUAAUACCGCAUGAUACCCUUAGACAAAGGUCAGAGGGUUGAAAGGAGCAAUUCGCUCAGAGAGGGGUCCGCGCCUGAUUAGCUAGUUGGUGGGGUAACGGCCUACCAAGGCGUCGAUCAGUAGCCGUCCUGAGAGGGAGCACGGCCACACUGGAACUGAGACACGGUCCAGACUCCUACGGGAGGCAGCAGUGGGGAAUUUUUGGCAAUGGGCGAAAGCCUGACCAAGCAACGCCGCGUGGGUGAUGAAGUAUCUUGGUACGUAAAACCCUUUCGGCAGGGACGAACCUAAUGACGGUACCUGCGGAAGAAGCCCCGGCUAACUCCGUGCCAGCCGCCGCGGUAAAAC